GAUAAGGUUAAGUGAAUAAGGGCGCACGGUGGAUGCCUUGGCACUAGGAGCCGAUGAAGGACGGGACUAACACCGAUAUGCUUUGGGGAGCUGUACGUAAGCUAUGAUCCAGAGAUUUCCGAAUGGGGGAACCCAACAUCUUUAAUAGGAUGUUACGAUUGUGUGAAUACAUAGCACAUUCGAGG
rnacentral:rRNA from 1 species